rnacentral:misc_RNA from 1 species
GAUGAAGAACGUAGCGAAAUGCGAUAAGUAGUGUGAAUUGCAGAAUUCAGUGAAUCAUCGAAUCUUUGAACGCACAUUGCGCCCCUUGGUAUUCCAUGGGGCAUGCCUGUUCGAGCGUCAUUUGUACCCUCAAGCUUUGCUUGGUGUUGGGCGUCUUGUCGUAUUACGACUCGCCUUAAAUACAUUGGCAGCCGGCACUUUGGCCUAGGAGCGCAGCACAUUUUGCGAUCGUAGCCCGUUGUACUGGCGUCCAUCAAGAACAUUUACCACGUUUGACCUCGGAUCAGGUAGGGAUACCAGCUGAACUUAAGCAUAUCAAUAAGCGGAGGA